ensembl:lncRNA
CUUCUGGAGAGAGCAGUUAUAAGAGCCAUCGAAUUGAUGCAUUCAUCGGUAAAAUACAGAUUUGUAUACAUUUUAUCUAUAAAAUCAUUACUGUGCUGUAUAUCGUUCAAUUUUAUGCAGAGCAACAUGGCACGCGGUAUGAAUCACCUUUAACAAGUGUCGUGGUCUUUUCACGUGAUGGAAAAGCAUGAUGCUAUUUGCAUAAAAUAAACAAUUUUAUUCAUAAAGAUACAGAAUACAAAUACUUUGGAUGUUAAAAUAUUUUCUCAGAGCUGUUUACUGUUUGAUUUUGGGCAGGUUAUAAAGGCAGUCGAAGUAUAUUUAGGCUAUGAGUGAAACGCAGGAUGACGGUCUCAGCCAUGAGCAGUUCCCUGCCAAACACGACUCUAGCUCGGGCCCGAGAACCAGCGCGGCGCAGUUCGAGACUAGUUCAUUUUUACUUUUAAUGUUUGUUAAACGAGGUUAAAUAUGGACAAUAUGUAUAGCCUAUUAAAAACGAUAUAAACAAUGCUGUAAAUGAUAAAGGAAAAUAAAGGAAGUUAUCAUGCAAACCAGUGGUUGUGUGGAGUAUGUUGGAAAAGUUUAGAGGAUUUAAGUUCAUCUGUAAACAUUAUUUAAUGUAUGAAGUAAAAAAUAAGCUAGUAAUGUAGAAAAAAUAAAUAAACCAUAGCUGGGUUAAAUCAACCCAUUAUGGUGGGUUAAAUAAACAACCCAAUUGGGGUUGGGUUUUUUUUUUAACCCAGUGUUUUUUAGCGUGUAUAAAAUGGGAAUACGGGCACGAAGUUCUGACCAUAUUAGGAGCACAUCUGGCAAAGGAUACCUCAACUCUGAGCUAAAGGACAGAUCCACCGCACAAUGAACAAGAGGAACCAAUAGCAUGAAGUCAAGAGGGCAAGGGACAGCAAUCAAUUAAUAACAAAAUAAAAGACAUGAAAACAUGAACAUGACAAAACCCAAAACAUGAAACAAAACCCUCAUUACAGAAUGCCAUUCUUUUGUUGCAGAAGCAAAACCAUGGAUGUUGUAAAUGCUGUGAAAAUCAUGAUCAUACUGGUUUGGACUUUCGCAUCUGUCUGUGAGGCCAGUGAUGAUUCAUGUACCUUCAGUUCAAGCUGUGCUGAUGUGACUGGUACUGUGCAUGAAGAACUAACUCUCACUUGCAGCAUCUCACUGAACUGCACUAAAGAAGCUGAUCAGUGCUGCAUUAUAUCGUACAUGUUUAAGGAUGAAAACACCACAGUAAUCUACAAAAAGGAGUUUCCUAACAAGACCUCUCCUAACAAGACCUGUGAACAAAAGAUCAAAGCCACAUAUGUUUACAAAUCAAGUAAAAACAUCACAGCAAAAUUUACAUUAUUUUCCCAAACAAAUUGUGAGACAAAGGAAACAGAAUUCAUCGUUAACGUAACAGAGUCUGGAGAUAAACCCACCAAUACAGAUACUGUUAAGAAAGGUGAAGCAAAGCUGACAACAUCUGAGGUCACUGUCAUUGUGUUCGCCAUAAUUGUCUUCAUCAUCAUAAUGUUAAUCAUUUAUAGGAAAUACAAUCCCACAAUCCCUUGUCGACACCAGAGAGACUAUAAAACAGCUGAUUCUGCCACAAAAGAUGAUGACAACGGUGAAUAGUCAGAAUGAGCUUCUCAGCCGCACAGCUGGACUGUGUAGCAGUUGUGUUUCACAUCCAGUGCAGGUCAUGAGCCUUUAAACAUGUUUAUAAAAGUGUGUACAGAGGAAUCAUAACUGUCUGUGUUAUUUGGUCUACUCAGUGCACUCUUAUCCUAAGCUGUAUGUUCUGUUUUAUAUUGAUUUCUGUGAAAUAACAGAAUGCUGUCGAUCUGUUUGAUCAGAUUACUGUAUACAGUAAUUAUGUUGAAUGUUCUCAAGUCCUUACACUCUCAGAAAAAAAAAGGUACAAAAUCUGUCACUGGGACGGUACCAGUGUUGGGAAGGUUACUUUGGCAAUGUAACAGGUUACAGAUUACAAGUUACCCUAUUUAAUAAGUAGUGUAACUAUUUCAGUUACUUUAUUGGAGUUACUGAUUACAUUUGAUUACUUUUUGAUAACUUUUCUAAAUCUCUAAUGAAUGUUUUUAACUGGUAAUCAUUUUCAAACAUGUAAAUCAGGCAGGGUUAACCUCACACUAGAAAUCCCUGAUCACUUGAAUUAAGAUUAUAAUAAUGUUUUGGAAAAAAAUUUAAUCUUAAAAAAUAAAGCACAUACAUAAAACCA